AAGACAGGCCUCCUCAGAGACCCCACAGGACCUAGAUCUGGACGACUUCCAGCCUCCAGAACUAAAUUAAGAGCUGAUGGAGUCCACCAAAUCCAGAGCCUCCCCCAAAGAAGAAGAAAUGGGACCCAGGAAGGAGGAAGGAGAAACAAAAGGAAUUCACAGGAUGAUGCUGAGGGGAAGCUUCAGGAAAGCAAUUUCUAAGGCCAGAGACCACCAGUCCAGAGGGAGAACUGAGAACUCCCGCAGGAUGCCACCAAGAAAACAAACAAAAAGAAUCCUACAGAAACAAUCUGCUUACAGACACAGCAUGACUACUUUGUUUCAACAACAGAAAGCAGGAAGAGAUUUGAUAUUGUCUAUCCUGCAAACGAAAACAUUUUUUAAGUAAUCAGCCCUUCACAUUUUAGCUGGGCAUAUGGCUGCCUAGCUAAAGACUACGUUUCCCAGCCUCCCUGAAGCUGGAUGCGGA